rnacentral:rRNA from 1 species
GCUAGUUGGAACGAUGAAUCCUUUUCGGGGUGGAUUAGUGGCGAACGGGUGAGUAACACGUGGGCAAUCUGCCCUUCACUCUGGGACAAGCCCUGGAAACGGGGUCUAAUACCGGAUAACACUUCUGCCUGCAUGGGUGGGGGUUAAAAGCUCCGGCGGUGAAGGAUGAGCCCGCGGCCUAUCAGCUUGUUGGUGGGGUAAUGGCCUACCAAGGCGACGACGGGUAGCCGGCCUGAGAGGGCGACCGGCCACACUGGGACUGAGACACGGCCCAGACUCCUACGGGAGGCAGCAGUGGGGAAUAUUGCACAAUGGGCGAAAGCCUGAUGCAGCGACGCCGCGUGAGGGAUGACGGCCUUCGGGUUGUAAACCUCUUUCAGCAGGGAAGAAGCGCAAGUGACGGUACCUGCAGAAGAAGCGCCGGCUAACUACGUGCCAGCAGCCGCGGUAAUACGUAGGGCGCAAGCGUUGUCCGGAAUUAUUGGGCGUAAAGAGCUCGUAGGCGGCUUGUCACGUCGGAUGUGAAAGCCCGGGGCUUAACCCCGGGUCUGCAUUCGAUACGGGCUAGCUAGAGUGUGGUAGGGGAGAUCGGAAUUCCUGGUGUAGCGGUGAAAUGCGCAGAUAUCAGGAGGAACACCGGUGGCGAAGGCGGAUCUCUGGGCCAUUACUGACGCUGAGGAGCGAAAGCGUGGGGAGCGA